GACAGAGGGUGCAAACGUUGUUCGGAAUUACUGGGCGUAAAGCGUGCGUAGACGGCUAUCUAAGUCGGGUGUGAAAGCCCCGGGCUCAACCUGGGAAUUGCAUUCGAGACUGAAUAGCUAGGGUACGGUAGAGGGAAGCGGAAUUUCCGGUGUAGCGGUGAAAUGCGUAGAUAUCGGAAGGAACAUCAGUGGCGAAAGCGGCUUCCUGGACCAGUACCGACGUUCAGGCACGAAAGCGUGGGGAGCAAACAGG
rnacentral:rRNA from 1 species